CCUAACUCUAUGAUACGGUCCCCCUCCUCGUUAAGAAGGUCCCGAAAGUAUGCCUGCCAUCUCUGUUUGAUUUGAGCUUCCCCCAUCAGGACUCUACCAUCCUCGUCCUUGAUACACCUAACUUGAUCUAGAUCGCGUGCCUUCCUUUCCCUUGCUUUAGCUAACCGGAAUAACUUCUUAUCCCCGCCUUUCUCCCCUAGUUCCUCAUACAUGCGGCCGAAUGCCGCGUUUUUAGCUUCCGAGACUGCCAUCUUCGCUUCUUUUCUCGCCUCCUUGUAGAUCGCCCUGUUCGCCCUCCGUUCCUCCUCGCUAGAACUCCCUGCCAACCUAGCGAACGCUGCCUUCUUCACCUCUACUUUUUCCUUGACUACAUCGUUCCACCACCAAUCGCCCUGGUGCCUGCCUGAAUAGCCCUUGACUACCCCGA
rnacentral:lncRNA from 1 species